rnacentral:lncRNA from 1 species
AAAAUGAGACUGUCAGUCUCGAGAGUGAGUUAAAAUCAAAUAAUCUGGGGACUAUUGCAUUCUUCUCAGAAAAUAUAGAUUAUUCAAAUCAGUAUAUCAAACCAUGCACGUAAAUACAAAUCACAUUAUAAUCAAAUACCAUAAUAAACAAAUUAAAUAAAUAAAAAUAUAUAUUUACUUUUACGGGACGAGUGGCUCAGUAGAACCCUAACCCCAAAU